UUUUCUUGAGUCUGAGCCCUAUUCAUGAAAGGAACUUCAUCUUGAUGUCGUGUGGCUUGAGUUCUCUGUGAAUGACUGGAGGAUUUAAUUUUCUGCCUCUUUUCUUGUAAUCUUUCUUGUUCAUUUUCUGUGAUUUUGUACUGAUAGAUUGUUGUAACAGUGGUAUCAGAGCCUUCGUCUGGCUCGUGUGGGUGAAUCGAACCACAUCCUUACCUGUUGCAGUGGAUCUGGUAAAAUCGUUUUAGACUCAAAACCCUAGAUCUUGAGUUCUUUGUGAUAAAUCUCUAUUUCUUGAUGAAACACUGCUUCGGUGAUAUGAGUUGUUCGAACUUGGGUAAUACUUGACUGCCUCUUCGUGGAACUGUGUGUGGUCAAGUGUAACGACCACCAUUGUGGUUUUAACUCUUGAACUUAAAUCUUUACUGCCUUAUUUCAUCGUUUACACGUUUUAGUUGACUGAUAUUCUCUGUUGAUUGCUUUGUGAAUUUGGAAUUUCGUACUUAAGCAAUAAACUGUCUAUACUUGUUUUGUUAAGAGUAACACAGUGUGCUUGUGUACUUAGCCUGAAAUCUGCCUAUAUUCAUCUGGUAAAAGUAUACUUGAGUUUAGUUACUGAUCCUUGAUGUACUUGAAUAUUGUAGCAGUUUGUUCUGUUCUUAUAUUCUGUACUAAUUUCUCUCCUAAUUUUUGGUAUCAAAUAAAACAUCUACCCUUUACCCAAGCCUUGACCUGAGAUCUUGAGUCUCAAGGAAUCCUGGUAGGGCAGGGUAGUUGAUUUCUUUAACUUGAUAUUGGAGACAGUGUGUAUUUUUUUUAAUUAAUAUUUCCGCACUUACACACAUUAUGUUGCUUUGCCUGUGUUAUGAAGAAUCUCUGUUUCUCAUCUGUAUGUUGUGAUCAAAUCAGAAAUUACUGAGUGUGACUUGUUUGAUCUAGAAAAUGACUUCCACUAGUUUUGAACUUGGGGUCUUUAAUGGGAAGGGAGAUUUUCCUAUAUGGCAGCAAAAAAUGAGAGGGGUUUUAGUACAACAAAAGGUCUCUAAGGCAAUAACAGGAGAGUUUCCUGAAACAAUGACACAAGAUCAGAAAACUGAAUCAGAUGAUUUAGCCUAUACCUCAAUUAUUCUCCACCUAUCUGACCAAGUUCUAAGGAAGGUAGGGAAAUUAGAGAAUGCUCAGGCCUUAUGGGAGAAAUUAGAGGAAUUAUACUUAGUGAAAUCCUUACCAAAUAAACUCUUCCUUCUAGAAAGGUUUUUUAGUUUUAAGAUUGAUCCAACCAAAGACCUGGAUGAUAAUCUUGAUAUCUUUAAUAAAUUGGUACAAGAUAUCACCAAUACAGGGGAUAAAAUUUCUGAAGAAUAUAAAGCAGUAAUACUUCUUAAUGCUAUACCCGAUGCAUAUAGGGACGUCAAAUCUGCCAUUAAGUAUGGCAGAGAUACUUUAACUCCAGAAGUUGUUAUAAAUUCCAUAAGAAGUAAAGAAUUGGAACUUAAAACUGAAAAACAUGGGAAGGAACAUGAGAGUUUGUACAUAAGGGGAAGGCAACCAAAUCGGCAAAAUAAUAACUAUCCAAAUCAAAACAAUUCUGGAAACAGUAAUAGGAAGAAGUUCAGGAGUAAAUCAAGAUCUAAAUCAAAAUCUAGAAAUAACAGAAAGUGCUAUACUGCUAUAACAAGAAAAUUGAACCUAAAGAGAAGAAUGUUGAUGAGGGGAAUGUAGUUGAGCCUGCUGAGCCUAAUACAGUUGAUGUAUAUGUGGUGGCUCAGCAACCUGACCUGGAAGUGGCUAAUUAUGCCCACAACAGAUAUGUACAUGAGUGGAUUUUGGACUCAGGCUGCACCUUUCAUAUUACACAUGAAAGGGCCUGGCUUCAAGAUUUUAAAAGGCUAGCUGGUGGUGAAGUAGUGAUGGGAAACACCCGAUGCAUAUAGGGAUGUCAAAUCUGCCAUUAAGUAUGGCAGAGAUACUUUGACUCCAGAAGUUGUUAUAAAUUCCAUAAGAAGUAAAGAAUUGGAACUUAAAACUGAAAAACAUGGGAAGGAACAUGAGAGUUUGUACAUAAGGGGAAGGCAACCAAAUCGGCAAAAUAAUAACUAUCCAAAUCAAAACAAUCCUGGAAACAGUAAUAGGAAGAAGUUCAGGAGUAAAUCAAGAUCUAAAUCAAAAUCUAGAAAUAACAGAAAGUGCUAUGGCUGUGGUAAGCUCGGUCAUUACAUAAAAGACUGCUAUAACAAGAAAAUUGAACCUAAAGAGAAGAAUGUUGAUGAGGGGAAUGUAGUUGAGCCUGCUGAGCCUAAUACAGUUGAUGUAUAUGUGGUGGCUCAGCAACCUGACCUGGAAGUGGCUAAUUAUGCCCACAACAGAUAUGUACAUGAGUGGAUUUUGGACUCAGGCUGCACCUUUCAUAUUACACAUGAAAGGUCCUGGCUUCAAGAUUUUAAAAGGCUAGCUGGUGGUGAAGUAGUGAUGGAAAAUAAUAUAGCCUGCAGAGUUGAAGGGUUAGGAAAUGUGACCCUAAAAUUUGAAAAUGGAUACAUGUAUACCCUAGAGAGAGUUAGAUAUGUCCCUGAACUCAAAAGAAAUCUGAUAUCUAUGGGAGAAUUAGAUGACCUAGGGCUGUGUGGUAGGAUUGGAGAUGGAUUGAUGAAAGUGAUCAAGGGAUCUCUUGUCAUCUUUAAGGGUGUUAAGAAAAAUGGAAUCUAUGUAGUUAGAGCUGAAAUAAUACUUGAACAUAAUGCAACUAUCUCUAAUACUGAAUCUGAUUCCACCUUAAAAUGGCAUAAAAGGCUUGCACAUGUGGGUGAAAAAGGCCUCACAAUUCUACAAAAAGGCGGGGUAUUUGGUAAGGACCAAAUAUCAAAAAUACCUUUCUGUGAAAGUUGCACCUUUGGCAAACAUCACAGACUCCAUUUUAAUUCUGGAAAACAUAAAACUACCUCUCCAUUGGAAUAUGUCCACUCUGAUUUGUGGGGUCCAGCCUCCACAACUACUCCGGGGGGGAAUAAGUAUUUCCUCUCUAUAAUAGAUGACUUUUCAAGAAAGGUGUGGGUGUUUCUUUUAA
rnacentral:lncRNA from 1 species